CCUACGGGAGGCUGCAGUGGGGAAUAUUGGACAAUGGGGGGAACCCUGAUCCAGCCAUGCCGCGUGUGUGAAGAAGGCCCUCGGGUUGUAAAGCACUUUCAGUGAGGAAGAACGCCUGGUGGUUAAUACCCAUCAGGAAAGACAUCACUCACAGAAGAAGCACCGGCUAACUCCGUGCCAGCAGCCGCGGUAAUACGGAGGGUGCGAGCGUUAAUCGGAAUUACUGGGCGUAAAGCGCGCGUAGGUGGCUUGAUAAGCCGGUUGUGAAAGCCCCGGGCUCAACCUGGGAACGGCAUACGGAACUGUCAAGCUAGAGUGCAGGAGAGGAAGGUAGAAUUCCCGGUGUAGCGGUGAAAUGCGUAGAGAUCGGGAGGAAUACCAGUGGCGAAGGCGGCCUUCUGGACUGACACUGACACUGAGGUGCGAAAGCGUGGGUAGCAAACAGGAUUAGAUACCCCGGUAGUC
rnacentral:rRNA from 1 species